rnacentral:rRNA from 1 species
UGGGGAAUAUUGCACAAUGGGCGCAAGCCUGAUGCAGCCAUGCCGCGUGUGUGAAGAAGGCCUUCGGGUUGUAAAGCACUUUCAGCGAGGAGGAAGGUGGUGAGCUUAAUACGCUCAUCAAUUGACGUUACUCGCAGAAGAAGCACCGGCUAACUCCGUGCCAGCAGCCGCGGUAAUACGGAGGGUGCAAGCGUUAAUCGGAAUUACUGGGCGUAAAGCGCACGCAGGCGGUUUGUUAAGUCAGAUGUGAAAUCCCCGGGCUCAACCUGGGAACUGCAUUUGAAACUGGCAAGCUAGAGUCUCGUAGAGGGGGGUAGAAUUCCAGGUGUAGCGGUGAAAUGCGUAGAGAUCUGGAGGAAUACCGGUGGCGAAGGCGGCCCCCCUGGACGAAGACUGACGCUCAGGUGCGAAAGCGUGGGGAGCAAAACAGGAUUAGAUACCCUGGUAGUCCACGCUGUAAAACGAUGUCGAUUUUGGAGGUUGUGCCCUUGAGGCGUGGCUUCCGGAGCUAACGCGUUAAAUCGACCGCCU